CAAUGGGCGAAAGCCUGAUGCAGCGACGCCGCGUGAGGGAUGACGGCCUUCGGGUUGUAAACCUCUUUCAGCAGGGAAGAAGCGAAAGUGACGGUACCUGCAGAAGAAGCACCGGCUAACUACGUGCCAGCAGCCGCGGUAAUACGUAGGGUGCGAGCGUUGUCCGGAAUUAUUGGGCGUAAAGAGCUCGUAGGCGGUUUGUCGCGUCGAUUGUGAAAGCCCGGGGCUUAACCCUGGGUCUGCAGUCGAUACGGGCAGGCUAGAGUUCGGCAGGGGAGACUGGAAUUCCUGGUGUAGCGGUGAAAUGCGCAGAUAUCAGGAGGAACACCGGUGGCGAAGGCGGGUCUCUGGGCCGAUACUGACGCUGAGGAGCGAAAGCGUGGGGAGCGAACAGGAUUAGAUACCCUGGUAGUCCACGCCGUAAACGGUGGGCACUAGGUGUGGGCAACAUUCCACGUUGUCCGUGCCGCAGCUAACGCAUUAAGUGCCCCGCCUGGGGAGUACGGCCGCAAGGCUAAAACUCAAAGGAAUUGACGGGG
rnacentral:rRNA from 1 species